rnacentral:snoRNA from 1 species
CAGUCCUCUGCCUCGCUCAACCUCCUGCAAACCCCAUCAGAAAGUUUCGAGCUGGAUACACUUCUUCAUUCCCUUCCGGGAAAAGAGAAGCAAAGUAAUGGACAAGAACAAAACCCGAAGGUCUUUGAGUACGACUGCAUAUCGUCAUUCUCCAGGAUUGCUUCUUUGGUCGUAAUUUACCACUCGGGACAACC